GACGAACGCUCGCGGCGUGCUUAACACAUGCAAGUCGAACGGAAAGGCCCUGCUUUUGUGGGGUGCUCGAGUGGCGAACGGGUGAGUAACACGUGAGUAACCUGCCCUUGACUUUGGGAUAACUUCAGGAAACUGGGGCUAAUACCGGAUAGGAGCUCCUGCUGCAUGGUGGGGGUUGGAAAGUUUCGGCGGUUGGGGAUGGACUUGCGGCUUAUCAGCUUGUUGGUGGGGUAGUGGCUUACCAAGGCUUUGACGGGUAGCCGGCCUGAGAGGGUGACCGGCCACAUUGGGACUGAGAUACGGCCCAGACUCCUACGGGAGGCAGCAGUGGGGAAUAUUGCACAAUGGGCGGAAGCCUGAUGCAGCAACGCCGCGUGCGGGAUGACGGCCUUCGGGUUGUAAACCGCUUUCGCCUGUGACGAAGCGUGAGUGACGGUAAUGGGUAAAGAAGCACCGGCUAACUACGUG
rnacentral:rRNA from 1 species